CGGCCUUGUUUGAGUUAUGCCUUCUUUGCGCGGUGUGGUGAUAGACGACAGCCAGGUUAAAUUCAUGUGCAGGAGUCGCCUUCACUUGAAAACAUCCGUCGAGACCUGCACAUUUAGUUUUGAUGGUUUUGACGCUGUCCAAAUGGCUGAGGCCGUCUCUGCGAUGCACUUUCAGCGCGUAGACUGUCGUUUUGUACGUUGGUGGUAACGACGUUUGCAGUGCCAACGCGGACCCUCAAGAUAUAUGCGACAAUAUAGGGAAGUUAGUUCUGCAACUGCAGCACGAUGUGCCCCCCGUGGUGUAUACGUCUUCAAAGUGCUGCCACGUUGCUGCAGCUCUGAAGACGCCGAUGCGGAGCGCCAGAUCAAGAAAACGCGCUUGCUGAACCGCAAGCUGACGGCUACGCUGAAACGCCUGCCGUGUGUUCGAAUCUUGAACGCCGAGCAUGUUGGUCUUCAUUCGAGAGCUGUCUCACCUUUGGAUGUACAGAGGCAUCCACUUCCACCUUGAGCACCGCACCGUGCAGCCAACGCUCCGUGGAGCGUCUCUCGCUGGCGGCUGGGGCACGCAAGCGCAGUGACAACUGUAGGUGGUGCCUUCGCCGCGUCAUCUGCUAAAGCGCAGCGGCUCCGCCUAAUCGCGCUUGCUCUUCGAUGAAGCAUCGGUUUCUCAAUUCCUCGAAAGAGCCACGACGUGCGCUCUUAGCAAUUGAUGGGUACCAUGUGCACAGAGGCCAAGGGAUCGAUCAGCUGGCCAAAAUCGUCAGUUUCUCUUGCCCGUGACUUCGGACCUGGAGUGAAGUCACAUGGACACAGCGAGCUGGGUAUCUGCUACAGGCUGCUGAAGUGCAGCCACUGCAACACAAAAGGCCACGAAGUCCUGCGAGUGCAGCAAAUUCCU